UCCUACGGGGGGCAGCAGUGAGGAAUAUUGGUCAAUGGACGAGAGUCUGAACCAGCCAAGUAGCGUGAAGGAUGACUGCCCUAUGGGUUGUAAACUUCUUUUAUAUGGGAAUAAAAUGAGCCACGUGUGGCUUUUUGUAUGUACCAUACGAAUAAGGAUCGGCUAACUCCGUGCCAGCAGCCGCGGUAAUACGGAGGAUCCGAGCGUUAUCCGGAUUUAUUGGGUUUAAAGGGAGCGUAGGCGGAUUAUUAAGUCAGUUGUGAAAGUUUGCGGCUCAACCGUAAAAUUGCAGUUGAUACUGGUAG
rnacentral:rRNA from 1 species